rnacentral:rRNA from 1 species
UACGUAGGCAGCAAGCGUUGUUCGGAAUUACUGGGCGUAAAGGGCGCGUAGGCGGCCUGCUAAGUCGAACGUGAAAUCCCUGGGCUCAACCCAGGAACUGCGUCCGAUACUGGUUGGCUUGAAUCCGGGAGAGGGAUGUGGAAUUCCAGGUGUAGCGGUGAAAUGCGUAGAUAUCUGGAGGAACACCGGUGGCGAAGGCGACAUCCUGGACCGGUAUUGACGCUGAGGCGCGAAAGCCAGGGGAGCAAACGGG